rnacentral:lncRNA from 10 species
ACACUGACAAAACUUUAUUUCUUCGGAGAAGAUGGCAGUAACUUGGUAGGGAGCAGAAAGGGUCUUGGUUUUAAAAGUCUUGUUAGAAUGACUCUCAUUCUCACUGUGAACCCAGUUUAGCAUUUAUGUACUUUGGAAGGACAAAGAGGUGAGAGACGGGGUUUCGCUGUGUUGGCCGGGCUGCUCUCCAGCUCCUAACCGCGAGUGACCUGCCAGCCUUGGCCUCCCGAGGUGCCGGGAUUGCAGACGGAGUCUGGUUCACUCAGUGCUCAAUGGUGCCCAGGCUGGAGUGCAGUGGCGUAAUCUCGGCUCGCUACAACCUCCACCUCCCAGCCGCCUGCCUUGGCCUCCCAAAGUGCCGAG